UACAGAGGGGGCAAGCGUUGUUCGGAUUUACUGGGCGUAAAGAGCGUGUAGGCGGCCAAACAGGUCCGUUGUGAAAACUGGAGGCUCAACCUCCAGACGUCGACGGAAACCGUAUGGCUAGAGUCCGGAAGAGGAGAGUGGAAUUCCUGGUGUAGCGGUGAAAUGCGCAGAUAUCAGGAAGAACACCUAUGGCGAAGGCAGCUCUCUGGGACGGUACUGACGCUGAGACGCGAAAGCGUGGGGAGCGAACAGG
rnacentral:rRNA from 1 species